GACGUAGGGUGCGAGCGUUGUCCGGAUUUAUUGGGCGUAAAGAGCUCGUAGGCGGCUCGUCGCGUCGACCGUGAAAACCCGCGGCUUAACUGCGGGCUUGCGGUUGAUACGGGCGGGCUAGAGUUCGAUAGGGGAGACUGGAAUUCCUGGUGUAGCGGUGAAAUGCGCAGAUAUCAGGAGGAACACCGGUGGCGAAGGCGGGUCUCUGGGCCGAUACUGACGCUGAUGAGCGAAAGCCAGGGGAGCAAACGGG
rnacentral:rRNA from 1 species